rnacentral:rRNA from 1 species
UACGUAGGCGGGAAAUUAAGUCAGUAGUGAAAUCCCACAGCUUAACUGUGGAACUGUUAUUGAUACUGGUUUUCUUGAAUAUAGUUGAGGUAAGCGGAAUGUGUAAUGUAGCGGUGAAAUGCUUAGAUAUUACACAGAACACCGAUUGCGAAGGCAGCUUACUAAGCUAUGAUUGACGCUGAGGUACGAAAGCGUGGGGAGCGAACAGGAUUAGAUACCCUGGUAGUCC